rnacentral:rRNA from 1 species
GACGAACGCUGGCGGCGCGCCUAACACAUGCAAGUCGAACGAGCGAGCGAGAGCUUGCUUUCUCGAGCGAGUGGCGAACGGGUGAGUAACGCGUGAGGAACCUGCCUCAAAGAGGGGGACAACAGUUGGAAACGACUGCUAAUACCGCAUAAGCCCACGGCUCGGCAUCGAGCAGGGGGAAAAGGAGCAAUCCGCUUUGAGAUGGCCUCGCGUCCGAUUAGCUAGUUGGUGAGGUAACGGCCCACCAAGGCGACGAUCGGUAGCCGGACUGAGAGGUUGAACGGCCACAUUGGGACUGAGACACGGCCCAGACUCCUACGGGAGGCAGCAGUGGGGAAUAUUGCACAAUGGGGGAAACCCUGAUGCAGCGACGCCGCGUGGAGGAAGAAGGUCUUCGGAUUGUAAACUCCUGUUGUUGGGAAAGAUAAUGACGGUACCCAACAAGGAAGUGACGGCUAACUACGUG